UGCUGUCUUCCGAAUUCACAUGAUGGAAUGUCAACACAUUGUGCUCGUUAGAACUUUAACACAUUGUGCGAGCAAUAGGUAAUUACAAUUAAUAGGGAAACUUGAGGUACAAUGGUCUUUGUUUGUGCUUGACAAACUGGUAGUUUUUGUUUAUUUAAAAUUCAACUGUGUUUUAGUAAUCAUAAAGUCAAUAUUACUUUUUAAGUAUUAAUCUUAUUUAUUUUUGUUAAUGUAGGAAAUAUAAACCAACCAAAUCAUUUAAUCGAUACGUCGAGCACAUACAAUCUAAUUUUGACACCAUCGUCAAAUCACAUUAAGUAUCUAAGUAUCGAAAAGUGCUUUUUGACACGCACACAUUCAUGUCAACAUAUUUAACUCAGAAAAAUUAUCAAAAAAAAAACAGCUUAAGCGCUUAAUUUACUUAAUGGAUUCAAUUGGCAAAUAGAGGUUAAGAUAUCGUGACAAGACAUAAUGUAAAUAGAUAAUUGUAUCCAUUUUUUUUUUAGCCUGCUAUAGUGUCCCACUGCUGGGCAAAGGCCUCCCCUCGUUUUCUCCACUCGACCCUAAUUAAAGGCCCAAAAAUGCAGAAGAGAUUUUUCAUUACCCAUUCUACCGAAUUGUAGGUCUGUGCAAUACGCCGGCCGGUAUUUAUAACGAUACGCUUCCAUUCGCCGCACAGUUCGAGCCCACACGUCGAUAGGAGAACUUCGCUAUUCCCCAGUUUGAAACGUCCGCGCAUAUUACCGUAACUGCAUUUACAUAAACAAGAUAAUGGCGCUCUACAGAAUUGCCCUAGUUCUCACAGUAAUCGCCACUUUGGCAGCAGCGCAGAGGCCGUUCUACGCCGGGCUCAAGCCCAUUGGCUACCCGCAGAUCGAAUCAGACUUACUAGCCAACAGAUUUGGGAGUGACGAACCUGGUCCCAUAGAGUUCCAGGGAGACCCGAAUUACAGAAACAGAAUCCAACAACUGCCACAGGACCAACAGCCUUUCUGGUACCUCAACUGGCAACAGUACGACGCUCUUAGAAAAAAUCCUCAAACGUACCCUCAGCGACCCAGUGUAUUCAAUAACAGGAUUAAUAAGUAAAAAAUGUAUUUUACAAUGAGAGAAAAUUUCAAAACUUGUAAGUCGGAAUAAAUGGAUCUGAUUAUCGGAAUGGGAAUACGAUCGACGAGAAGCGAUUUACGUAAAUUGGCUUCGAUUUCUUGGCUCCUAGAUUUAAAAUAGAGAAUGUGUAAUGUUUUAAACUGUAGCUGGUAUGAAAACUUCGCAUUUUUCUUAGAUGAUUUACAGUCACAAUUUAUGUGCCAUAUUAUAUCAUAGCCAAGGUACUUACAAUAAAUGUACUUGAUGUUCUUCGUAAGGGCUCCAAUUUAUUUAAGUAUUUUUCAUAUUGGCCCAGAAAAGUGUUUGCACAAAAUACAACUUUACUGUCUCUCUAAAGAGGGCGAAUAAAUCGAUUUAUUAACUAAAUAGUUUUCUGCAGUAAAAACAUUAAUAAAAUCUUC